rnacentral:rRNA from 1 species
AUUGAACGCUGGCGGCAUGCCUUACACAUGCAAGUCGAACGGUAACAGGUCUUCGGAUGCUGACGAGUGGCGAACGGGUGAGUAAUACAUCGGAACGUGCCUAGUAGUGGGGGAUAACUACUCGAAAGAGUGGCUAAUACCGCAUGAGAUCUACGGGUGAAAGCAGGGGAUCGCAAGACCUUGUGCUACUAAAGCGGCCGAUGGCAGAGUAGGUAGUUGGUGGGAUAAAAGCUUACCAAGCCGACGCUCUGUAGCUGGUCUGAGAGGACGAUCAGCCACACUGGGACUGAGACACGGCCCAGACUCCUACGGGAGGCAGCAGUGGGGAAUUUUGGACAAUGGGCGCAAGCCUGAUCCAGCAAUGCCGCGUGCAGGAUGAAGGCCUUCGGGUUGUAAACUGCUUUUGUACGGAACGAAAAGCCCCGGGUUAAUACCCUGGGGUCAUGACGGUACCGUAAGAAUAAGCACCGGCUAACUACGUGCCAGCCGCCGCAGUAA